GGAGGCAGCAGUGGGGAAUAUUGCACAAUGGGCGCAAGCCUGAUGCAGCCAUCCCGCGUGUAUGAAGAAGGCCUUCGGGUUGUAAAGUCUUUCAGCGAGGAGGAAGGUGUCUGUGGUUAAUANCCGCAGCAAUUGACGUUACUCGCAAAAGAA
rnacentral:rRNA from 1 species